CAGUCGCCGCGGGAAUACGUAGGGUGCGAGCGUUAAUCGGAAUUACUGGGCGUAAAGCGUGCGCAGGCGGUUCGUUAAGACAGAUGUGAAAUCCCCGGGCUUAACCUGGGAACUGCAUUUGUGACUGGCGAGCUAGAGUAUGGCAGAGGGGGGUAGAAUUCCACGUGUAGCAGUGAAAUGCGUAGAGAUGUGGAGGAAUACCGAUGGCGAAGGCAGCCCCCUGGGCCAAUACUGACGCUCAUGCACGAAAGCGUGGGGAGCAAGCAGGAUUAGAUACCCCAGUAGUCCCUGUCUCUUAUAC
rnacentral:rRNA from 1 species